GCCGAAGUAGCUCAGUCGGUAGAGCGACGCAUUCGUAACGCGUAGGUCGCGGGUUCGAUCCCCGCCUUCGGCU
rnacentral:tRNA from 1 species